rnacentral:tRNA from 2 species
GCCGGCGUAGCUCAGUUGGAAGAGCGGCUGAUUUGUAAUCAGUUGGUCGCGGGUUCGAAUCCUGCCGCCGGCUCCA